rnacentral:rRNA from 1 species
GCCAGACUCCUACGGGAGGCAGCAGUGGGGAAUAUUGCACAAUGGGGGAAACCCUGAUGCAGCGACGCCCCGUGAGUGAAGAAGUGAUUCGUUAUGUAAAGCUCCAUCAGCAGGGAAGAAAAUGACGGUACCUGAGUAAGAAGCCCCGGCUAACUACGUGCCAGCAGCCGCGGUAAUACGUAGGGGGCAAGCGUUAUCCGGAUUUACUGGGUGUAAAGGGAGCGUAGACGGCAGUGCAAGUCUGGAGUGAAAGGCGGGGGCUCAACCCCGGGACUGCUCUGGAAACUGCGUCGCUGGAGUACGGGAGGGGCAGGCGGAAUUCCUGGUGCAGCGGUGAAAUGCGUAGAUAUCAGGAGGAACACCGGCGGCGAAGGCGGCCUGCUGGACCGUGACUGACGUUGAGGCUCGAGAGCGUGGGGAGCAAACAGGAUUAGAUACCCUCGUAA